AACUUGAGAAAAGGCCAAGAAAAUAUUUCCCAUUAAAGGUACAUGUAUAUACAACAGUUAAUUCAUAGGAGUUGAAAAUAACAUGCAGUUUGGUUAACGGGAAAUAAGAAAAGAAUAUUUACAUCAUAAUCUAUCAACCAUAUAAUUGAAAAUUAACUGUUUUGUGCCAAGGUAUGCAGAGUGGGUUGAAUAAAGAUGGAUUCUAUGCCUGAGGUUCGAUAAAGGCACGAAACAAGUGAACCGUUGGUAUAUUUUUUCUUUCAUCUGAUGGACUGAUUUUCCUAACAUGAAUAAAUCGAGGACUACCCAAAAAGUCAACGACGGUUUUGCGACUGAACACUUUGGGAAAUCUCGCAUACCACCAGGAAUAUUUGAGAUAUUCUAAAACAGUUAAAAGAUAUUUCAAUGGGAUGUAUCCGUUCACCUUCAAACAUCGAUGAGGAAAAGUUUUGUUCUAUAUAGCAAUGGAAUUACUGUGAGAUGACAAAGACGAAUGUGCUGUUGGACAAUAUAUGGUUUUCAGGAAAUGUACAUGCAUUAAUUACAUCCACAAAAACCUCUCUAAUUAAAAUCCUGCGACGCUAUAUAUAUUUGGAAUAAAUGUAGUUACAAAACUUUAUUUCUAGUCAAAUUCAUUCAUAAACCAUAACUAAAAUCUGAGAAAAUAAAA